UACGUAGGGUGCGAGCGUUGUCCGGAAUUAUUGGGCGUAAAGGGCUCGUAGGCGGUCUGUCGCGUCGGGAGUGAAAACACGGGGCUUAACCCCGUGCCUGCUUCCGAUACGGGCAGACUAGAGGUAUGCAGGGGAGAACGGAAUUCCUGGUGUAGCGGUGAAAUGCGCAGAUAUCAGGAGGAACACCGGUGGCGAAGGCGGUUCUCUGGGCAUUACCUGACGCUGAGACGCGAAAGCGUGGGGAGCGAACAGG
rnacentral:rRNA from 1 species